rnacentral:rRNA from 1 species
GCAAGUCGAACGGUAACAGGGAUUGCUUGCAAUCCGCUGACGAGUGGCGCACGGGUGCGUAACGCGUAUAGAACCUACCUUUUACUGGGGGAUAGCCCGGAGAAAUCCGGAUUAAUACCCCAUAGUAAUGUCUCAGGGCAUCCUGAGAUGUUUAAAGCUUCGGCGGUAAAAGAUGGCUAUGCGUCUUAUUAGCUAGUAGGCGAGGUAACGGCUCACCUAGGCAACGAUAAGUAGGGGCCCUGAGAGGGGGAUCCCCCACACUGGUACUGAGACACGGACCAGACUCCUACGGGAGGCAGCAGUGAGGAAUAUUGGACAAUGGUCGAGAGACUGAUCCAGCCAUGCCGCGUGCAGGAAGACGGCCCUAUGGGUUGUAAACUGCUUUUGUACGGGAAGAAUAAUACCCACGUGUGGGUAGAUGACGGUACCGUACGAAUAAGGACCGGCUAACUCCGUGCCAGCAGCCGCGGUAAUACGGAGGGUCCGAGCGUUAUCCGGAAUCAUUGGGUUUAAAGGGUCCGCAGGCGGGCCAGUAAGUCAGGGGUGAAAGUUUGCGGCUUAACCGUAAAAUUGCCUUUGAUACUGCUGGUCUUGAGUUGCGGUGAAGUGGCCGGAAUAUGUGGUGUAGCGGUGAAAUGCAUAGAUAUCACAUAGAACACCGAUUGCGAAGGCAGGUCACUAACCGCCGACUGACGCUGAUGGACGAAAGCGUGGGGAGCGAACGGGAUUAGAUACCCCGGUAGUCCACGCCGUAAACGAUGGACACUAGCUGUCGGGCCUUAUGGUUCGGCGGCCCAGCGAAAGUGAUAAGUGUCCCACCUGGGGAGUACGUCGGCAACGAUGAAACUCAAAGGAAUUGACGGGGGCCCGCACAAGCGGU